CCUUCUAUUUAGAGCUAAUAAAUUGUUAGUAUACAACAAUUGUGAAAACAAAAAAUCAUGGCGGUAUCUUUAACUUUUCAGAGGAAUUUGCUCUUUUAUGGAUAAAACACCAGAAUCUUACUAAAAUUUGUUAAAACAGCUUGUAUACCACUAUUAAAGUAAUACUUUACUAGUAUUACUUAAAUUUUCUAAAUGAAGAAAAAAUUAAGUCAAGGUGCAGCAAAAAUUUUUGGAUGAAGUGAAUUACAUUUCUUUUUAGAAAAAAAAAUUGAAAGUAAUAAAUAUAGGAUUUGAAAGUAAAUUUUUAAUAAAAUGAUUAAUUGAAAAAAGUUCUAAGAUAUGUACACAUCGCCCGUCGCUCU
rnacentral:rRNA from 1 species